UGCAAAAAUGAAAAUAAUUUUCUACCUCUCGUGGUAGCGAGUUUUAAAGAAAAAGGGUUUUCGUAUGAAAAAUAGUUUUAGAAAGAUUUUCUUGGUUUUCAUGACCUACCGUUUUAAAACGAGUUUCCGGGUAGAAAACAUUUUAACUAAUAGAUGUGGAUUUAUGGAUAAUUUAUGAUGAUAUAACUGUGGAUGUGAAUGGUGUAUGAAUAUGUGGAUGUUCAUAUAUGUGGUUGUAUUUUGUAUCGUCAAUCUUG
rnacentral:lncRNA from 1 species